AUAGACUUGUAAGACCCUUGGGUGGGCGAACGCCCUUGAGCACCUCCACUUGAACUUCUGGUGAAUGGAACAUUCCAAGCCCAAGGGAAUGCACUCCAUUAACAGAAUCUUCCCAUGAUGGAAGACCAUCCUCAUGCUACUCAUGUGCAUGAGCAUAGUUCUACUCCAACAUUUAGAAAUUCCAGUAGUAUAAUUAGUUGUUAAUAUUGUGAAAUAGGGUGUAGGUAGGCUUUCUUUGUCAAUUGCUUCUCUUGGCAAUUUAGGAAUCAACCAGUAUGCGUGUUUCAUAUUUGGUGACACCUCCUGUUAAGUUAAGGCUCCAUGAAUCAUGACUUGGAUAUGAAUAUGUAGAUCUUGUGAAUAACGAGAUUUAAAUAAAUUGGAUGGGUACAUUGUGACCUAGGAAUUGGAUGUGAUUUUAAACAGGGUUA